AAAUUGAAGAGUUUGAUCAUGGCUCAGAUUGAACGCUGGCGGCAGGCCUAACACAUGCAAGUCGAACGGUAACAGGAAGAAGCUUGCUUCUUUGCUGACGAGUGGCGGACGGGUGAGUAAUGUCUGGGAAACUGCCUGAUGGAGGGGGAUAACUACUGGAAACGGUAGCUAAUACCGCAUAACGUCGCAAGACCAAAGAGGGGGACCUUCGGGCCUCUUGCCAUCGGAUGUGCCCAGAUGGGAUUAGCUAGUAGGUGGGGUAACGGCUCACCUAGGCGACGAUCCCUAGCUGGUCUGAGAGGAUGACCAGCCACACUGGAACUGAGACACGGUCCAGACUCCUACGGGAGGCAGCAGUGGGGAAUAUUGCACAAUGGGCGCAAGCCUGAUGCAGCCAUGCCGCGUGUAUGAAGAAGGCCUUCGGGUUGUAAAGUACUUUCAGCGGGGAGGAAGGGAGUAA
rnacentral:rRNA from 1 species